UUUUAACCAUGUCUUUUUGAUUAUAAUUUAAAGUUUACUCUGCCCAAUGAUAAAUUAAAUGGCCGCAGUAUUUUGACUGUGGUAAGGUAGCAUAAUCAAUAGUUUUUUAAUUGAAAACUAGUAUGAAAGAGUUGAUAAAAUAUAUACAUUAUUUAAUUAAUAUUUUGAAUUUAAAAUUUUAGUAAAAAUGCUAAAAUUUAUUUAUGGGACGAGAAGACCCUUUAGAAUUUUAUAUAAUUUUUAAAAUAAAUAUUUAUUUUAUAUUUUAUUUUAAAUAUUAUAUUUUAUUGGGAGGAUAAUUAAAUUUAUAAAACUUUAAUUUAAUUUUAAUUACAAUAAUUAUUGAAUUUUUGAUUUUAUAAUAUAUAUAUAAUUAAAAGAUUAAAUUACCUAAGGGAUAACAGCGUAAUAUUUUUGGAAAGUUCAUAUUGAUAAAAAUGUUUGCGACCUCAGUUGUAA
rnacentral:rRNA from 1 species